rnacentral:rRNA from 1 species
AUUGAACGCUGGCGGCAGACCUAACACAUGCAAGUCGAACGAGUGGAGGACGGGUGAGUAAUGUCGGGGAAACUGCCUGAUGGAGGGGGAUAACUACUGGAACCGGUAGCUAAUACCGCAUACCAUCGGCUGUGCCCAGAUGGGCUUAGCUAGUAGGUGGGGUAACGGCUAACCUAGGCGAGGAUCCCUAGCUGGGCUGAGAGGAUGACGAGCCACACUGGAACUGAGACACGGUCCGGACUCCUCCGGGAGGCAGCGUAGGGGAAUAUUGCACAAUGGGGGGAAGCCGGGUGCAGACAUGCCGCGUGUAGGAAAAGGGCCUCGGGGUGGUAAAGUCCUUUCAGCGGUGAGGCGUUACCCGCAGAAGAAGCACCGGCUAACUCCGUGCCAGCCGCCGCGGUAAUAC